AGACAUCUCCAGAAGACAUGGAGAACCUCACCUGGACUGCAUACACCUGCAUCAGAGUGUAGAAUGGAAGACAGCAUUUUGCAGAUUAUCAGUAAGGGUCCCUGGAGGAAUGUCUGCAGGAGAGGACCCAUCAUUGGUGGGCCAUGGUUUCCAGAGUACUCCCUGUCAGCCAGUGGUGUGCCCACCACAAAGCAGCAGGUGCCAGGCAUGAGGGAGGAGGAUGCAGCAUAUCUGUGGCAGUGCUGUCUUGGUUGCAGUACUCUUCAUCACUCAAAAAGUUUUUUCAGUACCAAAAGUGUAAGAAGAUGAUGGGACUGUGAUAAGAACUGAAGAUGUAUUUGAUCAGAAAAAAAUUACGAAGAUUUCAGAGCUUACAAAGCAAAUGCAAUGAAUUUCUUGGCCCUAUCCACUAAACUGUUUUCCAUAAGAAAACUGCAGCCACAGCCAACUCCACAAGCGGCAGAUGUCUCUGCAUGUUCAAAAAUCUUAACAUGGGAGCAACUUGGCAGGAUGGUGUCCACCUGAACUCAAGGAUGUGUAUAGCUUUGCGAAGCAGAGCAGCACCAAAUGGGAGAAGAGCAUGUUAAUAUAUUUGUGUACACCUAACUGAAACUUUGGUUUAUACUUGUAUCUAAGCCAAGCACAAGAGACAUAUGUCUAUCGUACCUGCUGUGUGCUGUAUUAGUGUGAUCAGUGUACUGCAAAUGACCAAUUUUUCUUUGCAAUAUUAUCCCUAUAGUCAGUCACAAAAAAAUAAACAUUUUCCCAUAUCUUCUGCUCAAAUUCGUCUGUAUCUAUGUAAUAUCUAUAUGUACUAGCUUAAGUUAACCAGUGUACACACAUUUGUGUAUACAUUAGUAUGUAAUAUGAUAUACAAUAAACAUCUUGUAUAAAU